rnacentral:rRNA from 1 species
GUGAGUUGCGAACGGGUGAGUAACGCGUAGGUAACCUGCCUGGUAGCGGGGGAUAACUAUUGGAAACGAUAGCUAAUACCGCAUAAGAACAUUUACUGCAUGGUAGAUGUUUAAAAGGUGCAAAUGCAUCACUACCAGAUGGACCUGCGUUGUAUUAGCUAGUAGGUGAGGUAACGGCUCACCUAGGCGACGAUACAUAGCCGACCUGAGAGGGUGAUCGGCCACACUGGGACUGAGACACGGCCCAGACUCCUACGGGAGGCAGCAGUAGGGAAUCUUCGGCAAUGGGGGGAACCCUGACCGAGCAACGCCGCGUGAGUGAAGAAGGUUUUCGGAUCGUAAAGCUCUGUUGUUAAGGAAGAACGAGUGUGAGAAUGGAAAGUUCAUACUGUGACGGUACUUAACCAGAAAGGGACGGCUAACUACGUGCCAGCAGCCGCGGUAAUACGUAGGUCCCGAGCGUUGUCCGGAUUUAUUGGGCGUAAAGCGAGCGCAGGCGGUUAGAUAAGUCUGAAGUUAAAGGCAGUGGCUCAACCAUUGUAGGCUUUGGAAACUGUUUAACUUGAGUGCAGAAGGGGAGAGUGGAAUUCCAUGUGUAGCGGUGAAAUGCGUAGAUAUAUGGAGGAACACCGGUGGCGAAAGCGGCUCUCUGGUCUGUAACUGACGCUGAGGCUCGAAA